CCAAUAGCGUACAUUAAAGUUGUUGCAGUUAAAAAGCUCGUAGUUGAAUUUCGGGGUCAGUAGGUCGGUCGUGCCACUGGUAUGAACUGGUUUUACUGAUUCCUCCCUCUUGAAGAACUGUAAUGCCAUUAAUUUGGUGUUGCAGGGAAUCAGGACUGUUACUUUGAAAAAAUUAGAGUGUUUAAAGCAGGCUUUAGCUUGAAUACAUUAGCAUGGAAUAAUGAAAUAGGACGUUUGAUCCUAUUUUGUUGGUUUCUAGGAUUGACGUAAUGAUUAAUAGGGAUAGUUGGGGGCAUUAGUAUUCAAUUGUCAGAGGUGAAAUUCUUGGAUUUAUUGAAGACUAACUACUGCGAAAGCAUUUGCCAAGGAUGUUUUCAUUAAUCAAAAACGAAAGUUAGGGGAUCGAAGACGAUCAGAUACCGUCGUAGUCUUAACCAUAAACUAUGCCGACUAGGGAUCGGAUGAUGUUAAUUUUUUAAUGACUCAUUCGGCGCCUUACG
rnacentral:rRNA from 1 species